GACGAACGCUGGCGGCGUGCUUAACACAUGCAAGUCGAACGGAAAGGCCCUGCUUUUGUGGGGUGCUCGAGUGGCGAACGGGUGAGUAACACGUGAGUAACCUGCCCUUGACUUUGGGAUAACUUCAGGAAACUGGGGCUAAUACCGGAUAGGAGCUCCUGCUGCAUGGUGGGGGUUGGAAAGUUUCGGCGGUUGGGGAUGGACUCGCGGCUUAUCAGCUUGUUGGUGGGGUAGUGGCUUACCAAGGCUUUGACGGGUAGCCGGCCUGAGAGGGUGACCGGCCACAUUGGGACUGAGAUACGGCCCAGACUCCUACGGGAGGCAGCAGUGGGGAAUAUUGCACAAUGGGCGGAAGCCUGAUGCAGCAACGCCGCGUGCGGGAUGACGGCCUUCGGGUUGUAAACCGCUUUCGCCUGUGACGAAGCGUGAGUGACGGUAAUGGGUAAAGAAGCACCGGCUAACUACGUGCCAGCAGCCGCGGUGAUACGUAGGGUGCGAGCGUUGUCCGGAUUUAUUGGGCGUAAAGGGCUCGUAGGUGGUUGAUCGCGUCGGAAGUGUAAUCUUGGGGCUUAACCCUGAGCGUGCUUUCGAUACGGGUAGACUUGAGGAAGGUAGGGGAGAAUGGAAUUCCUGGUGGAGCGGUGGAAUGCGCAGAUAUCAGGAGGAACACCAGUGGCGAAGGCGGUUCUCUGGGCCUUUCCUGACGCUGAGGAGCGAAAGCGUGGGGAGCGAACAGGCUUAGAUACCCUGGUAGUCCACGCUGUAAACGGUGGGUACUAGGUGUGGGGUCCAUUCCACGGGUUCCGUGCCGUAGCUAACGCUUUAAGUACCCCGCCUGGGGAGUACGGCCGCAAGGCUAAAACUCAAAGGAAUUGACGGGGCCCCGCACAAGCGGCGGAGCAUGCGGAUUAAUUCGAUGCAACGCGUAGAACCUUACCUGGGUUUGACAUGGAUCGGGAGUGCUCAGAGAUGGGUGUGCCUCUUUUGGGGUCGGUUCACAGGUGGUGCAUGGCUGUCGUCAGCUCGUGUCGUGAGAUGUUGGGUUAAGUCCCGCAACGAGCGCAACCCUUGUUCACUGUUGCCAGCACGUUAUGGUGGGGACUCAGUGGAGACCGCCGGGGUCAACUCGGAGGAAGGUGGGGAUGACGUCAAGUCAUCAUGCCCCUUAUGUCCAGGGCUUCACGCAUGCUACAAUGGCUGGUACAGAGAGUGGCGAGCCUGUGAGGGUGAGCGAAUCUCGGAAAGCCGGUCUCAGUUCGGAUUGGGGUCUGCAACUCGACCUCAUGAAGUCGGAGUCGCUAGUAAUCGCAGAUCAGCAACGCUGCGGUGAAUACGUUCCCGGGGCU
rnacentral:rRNA from 1 species